CCUACGGGGGGCAGCAGUAGGGAAUCUUCCACAAUGGGCGCAAGCCUGAUGGAGCAACACCGCGUGAGUGAAGAAGGUUUUCGGCUCGUAAAGCUCUGUUGUUGGAGAAGAACGUGCGUGAGAGUAACUGUUCCCGCAUUGACGGUAUCGAACCAGAAAGACCCGGCUAACUACGUGCCAGCAGCCGCGGUAAUACGUAGGUGGCAAGCGUUAUCCGGAGUUAUUGGGCGUAAAGCGAGCGCAGGCGGUUGCUUAGGUCUGAGGUGAAAGCCUUCGGCUUAACCGGAGAAGUGCAUCGGAAACCGGGAGACUGGAGUGCGGAAGAGGACAGUGGAACUCCAGGUGUAGCGGUGGAAUGCGUAGAUAUAUGGAAGAACAUCAGUGGCGAAGGCGACUGUCUGGUCUGCAACUGACGCUGAGGCUCGAAAGCAUGGGUAGCGAACAGGAUUAGAUACCCUAGUAGUC
rnacentral:rRNA from 1 species